GGUAGCUGUAUUCCGGCGAAAUGGCGGACGAGGAAGAUAGAGCACUGGAAGAGCAGUUGGAAAUUCAAUUGGAUGAGCAGAAAGACGCUCUCCAUUCUCUCACUGAAGCACUAUCCUCUGAUCCUUCCGAUCCCGAACUCCUCUCUGUUCAUGAAGAGCUUGUUCAGUCUAUAAAAGACUCUGAGGAAGGCCUUCUUCACCUAAAACGUGCAAGGUUGUUGCUAGAGGUUGAUGCUUCUUUACAUGGUUUCAAGGAGCAACCUGCUGAUGUUGAGGUGGAGCCUCUUGAUCCAACAGAGAAUGAAGAAGAACCGCUAGUGGAUGAAGA
rnacentral:misc_RNA from 1 species